rnacentral:rRNA from 1 species
UACGGGGGGGGCAAGCGUUGUUCGGAAUUACUGGGCGUAAAGGGCGCGUAGGCGGCCUGCUAAGUCGGAUGUGAAAGCCCCCGGCUCAACUGGGGAGGGUCACGCGAUACUGAUCGACUCGAAGGCAGGAGAGGGAAGUGGAAUUCCCGGUGUAGUGGUGAAAUGCGUAGAUAUCGGGAGGAACACCAGUGGCGAAGGCGACUUCCUGGCCUGUUCUUGACGCUGAGGCGCGAAAGCUAGGGGAGCAAACGGG